rnacentral:rRNA from 1 species
GUGGCGGCGGCAUGCUAUACAUGCAGUCGAGCGGACAGAAGGGAGCUUGCUCCCGGAUGUUAGCGGCGGACGGGUGAGUAACACGUGGGUAACCUGCCUGUAAGACUGGGAUAACUCCGGGAAACCGGAGCUAAUACCGGAUAGUUCCUUGAACCGCAUGGUUCAAGGAUGAAAGACGGUUUCGGCUGUCACUUACAGAUGGACCCGCGGCGCAUUAGCUAGUUGGUGAGGUAACGGCUCACCAAGGCGACGAUGCGUAGCCGACCUGAGAGGGUGAUCGGCCACACUGGGACUGAGACACGGCCCAGACUCCUACGGGAGGCAGCAGUAGGGAAUCUUCCGCAAUGGACGAAAGUCUGACGGAGCAACGCCGCGUGAGUGAUGAAGGUUUUCGGAUCGUAAAGCUCUGUUGUUAGGGAAGAACAAGUGCAAGAGUAACUGCUUGCACCUUGACGGUACCUAACCAGAAAGCCACGGCUAACUACGUGCCAGCAGCCGCGGUAAUACGUAGGUGGCAAGCGUUGUCCGGAAUUAUUGGGCGUAAAGGGCUCGCAGGCGGUUUCUUAAGUCUGAUGUGAAAGCCCCCGGCUCAACCGGGGAGGGUCAUUGGAAACUGGGAAACUUGAGUGCAGAAGAGGAGAGUGGAAUUCCACGUGUAGCGGUGAAAUGCGUAGAGAUGUGGAGGAACACCAGUGGCGAAGGCGACUCUCUGGUCUGUAACUGACGCUGAGGAGCGAAAGCGUGGGGAGCGAACAGGAUUAGAUACCCUGGUAGUCCACGCCGUAAACGAUGAGUGCUAAGUGUUAUGGGGUUUCCGCCCCUUAGUGCUGCAGCUAACGCAUUAAGCACUCCGCCUGGGGAGUACAGUCGCAAGACUGAAACUCAAAGGAGUUGACGGGGGCCCGCACAAGCGGUGGAGCAUGUGGUUUAAUUCGAAGCAACGCGAGAACCUUACCAGGUCUUGACAUCCUCUGACAACACUAGAGAAUAGGGCUUUCCCUUCGCGACAGAUGACAGUGUGCAUGAUUGUCGUCAGCUCUGUCGUGAGAUGUUGGGUUAGUCCGCAACGAGCGCAACCCCUUGAUCUUAG